rnacentral:rRNA from 1 species
GUCGCACCUACCGAUUGAAUGGUCCGGUGAAGACUCGAGAUUUUGGUCUAGCUCCUUUAUUGGGGCUUGACCGCGAGAACCUGUCUAAACCUUAUCAUUUAGAGGAAGGUG